AACGAACGCUGGCGGCAGGCCUAACACAUGCAAGUCGAGCGCUCACCUUCGGGUGGGAGCGGCGCACGGGUGAGUAACACGUGGGAACCUACCUUGAAGUACGGAAUAACUGAGGGAAACUUCAGCUAAUACCGUAUACGCCCUACGGGGGAAAGAUUUAUCGCUUCAAGACGGGCCCGCGUUGGAUUAGCUAGUUGGUGAGGUAAUGGCUCACCAAGGCAACGAUCCAUAGCUGAUUUGAGAGAAUGAUCAGCCACACUGGGACUGAGACACGGCCCAGACUCCUACGGGAGGCAGCAGUGGGGAAUAUUGGACAAUGGGCGCAAGCCUGAUCCAGCCAUGCCGCGUGAGUGAUGAAGGCCUUCGGGUUGUAAAGCUCUUUCAGAUGGGACGAUGAUGACGGUACCAUCAGAAGAAGCCCCGGCUAACUUCGUGCCAGCCGCCGCCGUAAAAC
rnacentral:rRNA from 1 species